AAUUAGAAAGUGAAAAAUUACAUUUAGUUUCGGCCUAAACUUUGGUCAAUUAGACCUCUAAUUU
rnacentral:tRNA from 1 species